rnacentral:rRNA from 1 species
CUAAGUGGCGGACGGGUGAGUAAUGUAUAGUUAAUCUGCCCUUUAGAGGGGGAUAACAGUUGGAAACGACCGCUAAUACCCCAUACUCCUUUUAUCUUAAUGGUAAUUGGGAAACGUUUUUUCGCUAAAGGAUGAGACUAUAUGGUAUCAGGUAGUUGGUGGGGUAAGAGCCUACCAAGCCAAUGACGCCUAGCUGGUCUGAGAGGAUGAUCAGCCACACUGGAACUGAGACACGGUCCAG